AAAAAAAAUUUGUAAGAAAAAAAUAUCAUCUUAUUGAAAUGUAAUUUUUGUUUUUUUCUAGAUUGUUUGAUAUGUUUUUCCAAUUUUUUGUUAAUUUUAGCAUUGUUUAAGCUAUAAAAAAAACAACACCACUUUCAGCAGGAAGAUGGUCAAUUGAAUCUUCAACCAAGUCUGAGGCUAUUCCAUGAAAAAUUAGAAGGCAAGUUUAUUUAAGACAAACUUUUUCUAGACAUAUUUCAUAAAAAGUGCAUAUUAAGACAACAAACAACAUUUUCUGCAAAAAAAACAUCAGAAGAAUUUAUUUACCCCAUUAAUAUUUAAUAUAUUCAGGUUCCAGGUACAGUAAAAGGAAUUUCUAUUACAAUAACAAUAGUUCAUUCUGAGAUAGGAAUUAAAUUUAAAGGGGAGACUAGUGCAUUUAACAGCAAUAUUUGAUCAUUCAACUCAUUGUAAAAAAAUCAAAUCAUAAACCUUUGACUAUUUUUCAAGUUUUAUACAAAUUUUUAAAAAUGUGUUGAUUUUAUAUUGGUUCACGAAGUUAGAAAUCAGAACAAUUUUUAAAGUAAAUUCUAGGUUGAAAGAUUUGUAAAAAAAAUAUGUAUAAUUUUUUUUUAGGUACUUUCUGUUACAUGUUUUCAUGGUGUGGGAAUAAGACUUGGUGGUCUAUUACUGCUAAAACGUAGGUAGGUACCAGUAUGUUAAUCCUGUUUAAAAAAAUGUAUUUAUAAGAUUAUUUUUAAAUAAAUGUAUAUUCCUAGGCUUUGAGGUUUGUAAAAGUUCGGUAAAAAGUAUUCUCUUUUGUCUAUCAGAACUGUUAUGAGUAAAGGACAAGGGUUCACUUGGCAAAAUAUGGCUGUGAAUUUUAAUUUUUAUCAUAUAUUAUCAAAAAUGCCCCAAAUGGUUCUUUAAUGGAUACAUUUCAAGAGCCUCAAUUUCAUAUUACAUGGUAGCUCCAUAUUUACCUCGUUUUGGCGAUAUUAUCAAAAUGCCAUGAUUUUGUACAUUUUAAGAAUACAUUGGCC
rnacentral:lncRNA from 1 species